UGAAAUGCAUGUAUUUUUAAUGGUAAAUGAUUAUAGAACUCAAUCAGACUAAACAAAUGUAAAUAAAUUGUUUUCAAUGAGUGGUUAAAGGUGGCAGGUACCAGUUUUGGUGUACCAGAACAAGUGUCCCACGCAGAAAUUUUGUUAUAGUUAAGUAUUGAGGUAUAUAACUGCUUCAUGUGGACUGAAAAAAUAAAUGAAUGUAAAUUCUAGGCUAUUGUACUACACAAGUAAGUAGUUGCAUACACAGAGAGGGGAUUUCCUUCACAUAUAGGUCCAAUCAGAUGUCAAAAUUGUGGUCUCCUCACUUGACGGCAUCCAAUCAAAGUAGGGGAAAUAUUCAUUUUUUUGUAAACAAAAAUAUCUUGAGAUUUUGAUGGUAAGGAUAGGUUCGGACAAGGCUCUAAUUCAUUGAAUAUCCUUUAUCUCUUGAAUUUUGCCUAUAAUUCUUGUCGGCUUUUAGCAGGAUUCUGCAGCUCUACUACAUAGUUGAUACAGAAGGACAGGCUACAGAAAUAAGAAAACUGGCCUCUCUCAUCAGCAAUAGUGUGGCAAUUCUAAAAUUUCAACAUGCGGCCUACACAGCUAGCUCAUGUGGAGAAGAGAUAUGGGACUGGUUGCGAAUAAAUGUACACUUAGUUUAGUGCAUCAUGGAUCUACAAAGUGAAAUAUAUGUACCAAAAAUAUUAGUUUAUUCAUAACUAAGCCUUUUUCAGCACUGAAGUCAAUAGAACAAUGAUAGUGACAAGAAUUGAGACUAUUUAAUACCUCAAACUAUGGGAAAAUACUUCUUGAGAUCAGUUCUCUACUACAUAGUUGAUACAGAAGGACAGGCUACAGAAAUAAGAAAACUGGCCUCUCUCAUCAGCAAUAGUGUGGCAAUUCUAAAAUUUCAACAUGCGGCCUACACAGCUAGCUCAUGUGGAGAAGAGAUAUGGGACUGGUUGCGAAUAAAUGUACACUUAGUUUAGUGCAUCAUGGAUCUACAAAGUGAAAUAUAUGUACCAAAAAUAUUAGUUUAUUCAUAACUAAGCCUUUUUCAGCACUGAAGUCAAUAGAACAAUGAUAGUGACAAGAAUUGAGACUAUUUAAUACCUCAAACUAUGGGAAAAUACUUCUUGAGAUCAGUUCUCUACUACAUAGUUGAUACAGAAGGACAGGCUACAGAAAUAAGAAAACUGGCCUCUCUCAUCAGCAAUAGUGUGGCAAUUCUAAAAUUUCAACAUGCGGCCUACACAGCUAGCUCAUGUGGAGAAGAGAUAUGGGACUGGUUGCGAAUAAAUGUACACUUAGUUUAGUGCAUCAUGGAUCUACAAAGUGAAAUAUAUGUACCAAAAAUAUUAGUUUAUUCAUAACUAAGCCUUUUUCAGCACUGAAGUCAAUAGAACAAUGAUAGUGACAAGAAUUGAGACUAUUUAAUACCUCAAACUAUGGGAAAAUACUUCUUGAGAUCAGUUCUCUACUACAUAGUUGAUACAGAAGGACAGGCUACAGAAAUAAGAAAACUGGCCUCUCUCAUCAGCAAUAGUGUGGCAAUUCUAAAAUUUCAACAUGCGGCCUACACAGCUAGCUCAUGUGGAGAAGAGAUAUGGGACUGGUUGCGAAUAAAUGUACACUUAGUUUAGUGCAUCAUGGAUCUACAAAGUGAAAUAUAUGUACCAAAAAUAUUAGUUUAUUCAUAACUAAGCCUUUUUCAGCACUGAAGUCAAUAGAACAAUGAUAGUGACAAGAAUUGAGACUAUUUAAUACCUCAAACUAUGGGAAAAUACUUCUUGAGAUCAGUUCUCUACUACAUAGUUGAUACAGAAGGACAGGCUACAGAAAUAAGAAAACUGGCCUCUCUCAUCAGCAAUAGUGUGGCAAUUCUAAAAUUUCAACAUGCGGCCUACACAGCUAGCUCAUGUGGAGAAGAGAUAUGGGACUGGUUGCGAAUAAAUGUACACUUAGUUUAGUGCAUCAUGGAUCUACAAAGUGAAAUAUAUGUACCAAAAAUAUUAGUUUAUUCAUAACUAAGCCUUUUUCAGCACUGAAGUCAAUAGAACAAUGAUAGUGACAAGAAUUGAGACUAUUUAAUACCUCAAACUAUGGGAAAAUACUUCUUGAGAUCAGUUGUAAGUGGUUUUAUAUCAUGCAUGAAACAAUAAACUAAAGUAGUUUCAUAUACUGUUGGAUAAUUCAUACACUGUACCAGAAAACUCACACAAUAAAAGUUAUUAAAUAUGAACACAAUCAUUUUUUUCCAAUUAUUUUGCAUUCAAAGUAGUAUGACGGCAAAAGACACAAAUAUUGCUAUAAUAAAUUUGGUCUUA